UACAGAGGUCCCGAGCGUUGUUCGGAUUCACUGGGCGUAAAGGGUGCGUAGGUGGCGGGGUAAGUUUGAUGUGAAAUCUCCGGGCUUAACCCGGAAACUGCAUUGAAUACUAUUCUGCUCGAGGUUUGGAGGGGGGACUGGAAUUCUCGGUGUAGCAGUGAAAUGCGUAGAUAUCGAGAGGAACACCAGUGGCGAAGGCGAGUCCCUGGACAACACCUGACACUGAGGCACGAAAGCUAGGGGAGCAAACAGG
rnacentral:rRNA from 1 species